rnacentral:rRNA from 1 species
ACGAAGGGUGCAAGCGUUAAUCGGAAUUACUGGGCGUAAAGGGUGCGUAGGUGGUUGAAAGAGUUAGGUGUGAAAGUCCUGGGCUUAACCCGGGGAUUGCGCCUAAUACUGUUUAGCUAGAGUACUGUAGAGGGAAGUGGAAUUUCCGGUGUAGCGGUGAAAUGCGUAGAUAUCGGAAGGAAUAUCAGUGGCGAAGGCGACUUUCUGGACAGAUACUGACACUGAGGCACGAAAGCGUGGGGAGCAAACAGGA